UGGGGAAUAUUGCACAAUGGGGGAAACCCUGAUGCAGCCAUGCCGCGUGUGUGAAGAAGGCCUUCGGGUUGUAAAGCACUUUCAGCGAGGAGGAAAGGAGGAUAGCUAAUACCUAUUCUCUGUGACGUUACUCGCAGAAGAAGCACCGGCUAACUCCGUGCCAGCAGCCGCGGUAAUACGGAGGGUGCAAGCGUUAAUCGGAAUUACUGGGCGUAAAGCGCACGCAGGCGGUCAGAUAAGUCAGAUGUGAAAGCCCCGGGCUCAACCUGGGAACUGCAUUUGAAACUGUCUGACUAGAGUCUUGUAGAGGGGGGUAGAAUUCCAGGUGUAGCGGUGAAAUGCGUAGAGAUCUGGAGGAAUACCGGUGGCGAAGGCGGCCCCCUGGACAAAGACUGACGCUCAGGUGCGAAAGCGUGGGGAGCAAACA
rnacentral:rRNA from 1 species